rfam:Danio rerio chromosome 17 genomic contig CTG1671, GRCz11 reference primary assembly.
ACUAAGACUAUUUGUAAGUUGCUUUGGAUAAAAGCGUCUGCUAAAUGACUAAAU